UAUCAAUCAGUUGGGGGUGGAGGCAGGUUUAAUAUUAAAAUCGGUUGGCGGUAGGUAAGAAGGAGGUUGGGUUGGGUGGAGGUAGACUGUACAUUAAUCCGGGUGGAGGUGGAUGUAGACUGUACAUUAAACCGGGUGGAGGUGGAUGUAGACUGUACAUUAAAGCGGGUGGAGGUGGAUGUAGACUGUACAUUAAAGCGGGUGGAGGUGGAGGUGGGUGUGGGGGCGCUGUGCUCACGUGUUGUACUCGUGGAUGUAGAC